rnacentral:rRNA from 1 species
UACGGGGGGGGCAAGCGUUGUUCGGAAUUACUGGGCGUAAAGGGCGCGUAGGCGGCCUGCUAAGUCGGACGUGAAAUCCCUCGGCUCAACCGAGGAACUGCGUCCGAUACUGGUGGGCUUGAAUCCGGGAGAGGGAAGUGGAAUUCCGGGUGUAGUGGUGAAAUGCGUAGAUAUCCGGAGGAACACCAGUGGCGAAGGCGGCUCACUGGACCGGUAUUGACGCUGAGGUGCGAAAGCGUGGGGAGCAAACAGG